rnacentral:pre_miRNA from 1 species
UAGCUACUCCCUCCGUCCGAAAAUACUUGUCAUCAAAAUGGAUAAAAAAGAUGUAUCUAGAACUAAUAUACAUCUAGAUACAUCCCCUUUUAUUCAUUUUGAUGACAAGUAUUUCCGGACGGAGGGAGUACAAA